rnacentral:misc_RNA from 1 species
ACUAAACAUCUGAAAUCAAAUGUAAGCCAAUGACCUCUGCUUCCAUAGUAAUAUUUAUCCCAUGACAGAAAAGAAGUUAUAAAACCAUUAAAGCAACAAAUUUGAACUUCACUUGCACUCAACAACAGCUUCAGCUGCCCGCCUAGGCUUGUUUUUUCGCCUGCUUCCAUUUUGUCGAAAUCCAAUACUAACUAUUGAAUCAUCAGAACUCAAUUUGGUUCCAACACCAUUUCCCUCUUUUGCUGAAUCUGUAUUUUCUUUGGUAUGUGCAGGCCUCUUCCUCUUGCGUCCAUUUUCCAUGGCAGCCUGAUUUUUCACAUCUUCAGAAGAAAUGGAAUCCUUUGCAUCCUUGCCAUCUUCUUGUAUCUCCACAGUUUCUUCUUCUUCUUCAUUGUCAUCCUUCAAUGGUUUUGUUGGCCUUCCUCUUCUUCUAUAAGCAGGAGCUUUUUCUUCUUCACCACUGCCAGGAUCUUCAUGUGAAGCAAUAACAGUCUGCUUCUUCGCUUUCCCUCUUCCCCUUCCCAUUGUCUGAAGUUAUUUGAAGUUGCUUGAAAGAAGAACAACUAAAGAUUCCUUCUUCUUCCUUGGGAAAAGAAUCAAAGCUUUACCGAAGAUCCUUCCUCAUAAAAUAUAUCCAUUACUUGCAUCUUUGUUGAAAAAGAAACCACUUAUCAGAAUCUAAUCUUCCAAAUCAAGAAACUACCAAAAACCCCCAGAAAUAAAUGGGUUUUCGUUGGUUUUCAAAAGAAAGCAGCCAAGAGCAACAAAAUGGUGAAAAUAAUGAUCUGAAUGGGAAUUUAAGCAUAACCCAGAUCAGAAACGAUAUGAUUCAAGAGAAGUAGCAGCAAAAAGAUUGAGACUUUAAAGAGUUCAUCAAGUUUGCGAGCUUAAAUGAAGUGGAGGCUAAGCGAGAACCAGAUACAACAACUGUCCAAGAAAGAAGUGAUGAGAGGAAAAAU